UUCUCCUCUCUCUACCACAAGUGCUGUGCUGCCUUUCGCCGGUCAUACUGCGGCAGCCCGGCGAGCGGCGUCUCACGAACUCGGUCCACGUUCAUCUUCCGUUCAGUCUAAAAUUUUCCGGUAAGAUCCAUGCGACCUCUUCUCCUGCAAACUGCAUCCGUAUGCAGACGAGAAACGCGUCCACAAUUACAUCGAUCCGCACUGAAUUAGUUGGUUUAGUCGCUAGUACUAGCAGCCACACUGAAUAAAAUUUGCCUGUUCUAUCUUUUCCAGUGCGAGGGUACUCUUGGAGGUUGCUUUGCUUCUGCUAGUGUAUUCUGUUAUGGUGAUUCCGUUUGGUAGCAGCGGUGCAACACCAUCUUCCUCACAACUUAUUUGUUAUGUUGCCCCUUUUACAGUAGAAUGAUAGAUAGCACCAGCAUAUUACAUGAUGCUUGGGUUUGCAUAUAUUUUAUACAUCGAUUAGUGCUGCUGAUUUAGUCAUUGACGCAAAUAUGGUGCAAAUUCUUUAGUAAGUUAUCUUUACAAUUACUUUGUCACUGCACACUCUUUGAGGAAUUAAAUUGAUGACAAAUUGCAUGCUAUUCUUGAAUAAAGCAACCUGUAUAAUUUUGGAAAGUGCAGUGGCCGCCCGUUCCUUUAUGGUCAAUUUUUCAAUCAGAACUAGCAAGAAGGUAAAACAUGUUGCUGGUAAUUAUGUCCUGUUCUUUGAAGUUGACAUAAUAGUACAGACCCACCAAUUGUUGUGUUUAUGUUUAGCUUUGGAAAAUGGAUUCAUCCUGUACUAAAGAGUUCUAAUUACCCAUUAUUAUUUUCCAUGGAUUAGAAACUUAAGCAUUUCCAGUAUGCAAUGAUUUCCAUUCUCAGGUCUUCUUUUGUUGACAGUGAGUACUAUUCAAGCAUUGGUUGCUAGUGAUGUUUCAGAUUAUUUUUACCUCCUAUUGAGGCAUCAAGGUACAACUGCAUAGAUAUUUAUUCAUUACCUAUUCAUAUUUCUUUCUUCACCAAUUGCUUUUAAAGGCAUUACCCCCUUUCAUAAGCUGUAGACCAUUCAAAUUAACCAAUCCAACAUUUUUCACUUACCUAUGGACCAUUUUUUUUUUGAGGUCUUAGGGGUGGGGCAGGGAGGAGAUACCCCAUAGCUUGUUGCAUUCACUCGAAGCUGACUCGGAACAUUAAAAAGUUCAGAUUACAAAUGCCCAUAGACAGCUAGCAAGGGAGAUAGAGUAAUGCCACACUAGCCUACGCAGGAGAGCAGAAAAGAGCGGUAAUAGAGUAGACCUGUUUUUAUCAGCCAUUGCAUUAUUUUUUACACGAAGUGCAAUUAAGUCACCAGGGCGUCGAAUGACCCAGCUAGCCCCCCUUGUCCGCUCCAUCACAUAUGCUCGAUGUGGUUUAGUGUACCAACCGUGCUCGCAUCACUGGCCGGCCGACAUAAUUUCCUUUCGCUUACUUUACGUUGCUUGACCCAGCUAGUCGCCCUUGUCAGCUCCAUCGCACCUGCUCGGUGUGGUUUAGGUACCAAUCGUACUCGCAUCACUGGCCGGCAUAAUAUCCUCUCUCUUCUUUUACGUUGCUUGGGACAGUUAAUUUCUUUCUCGUUGUGGGGGGCUCGGUUUGGGAACUGCCGACUCGGCAUUUUCUGUUCUAAUUGGGAUCGGUAGCCGCAUGCUGUUUUGAAGGCAGGCGUCGAGAGCUUUCAACGGCGAGGGUACAGGCACGCGACAACUGUAGUUGGCCUUGUCGGCCGACGGUAGCAUCGCAUCGAUGUUGCGGGAACUUUUGACAGCCGUCGGUGACUCGUCGGCUGACGGCAACAUCAAGGAAAGUGGCACUGCGAGAGGCGUCAUGGUGUGGUGGGUGGCUGGCACAGCAGCGACCGGUGCGAGAAGCUUCACCACAUGGUGGGGCCGGACUGCGACGAGUGGGACAGCCAGUAAUGUUCAAAACAUUAAGAGGAACUGGGAUGUGUCCUUCUCCUGGGGUACACAUGGAAAUGUAGAGCUGCACCGCAUGUUCUGGUCUUCAGCGCCGAGACACCUAGUAGGAUGGAAAUACAACAUCAAAGCAUAGUGUACUGGAGUUGUUGAUGUAACCAGAUAAUUCGCACUGACUGUAAUUACGUUCACAUAUUUCAUUUAUUUUCGAUAUGCACUUUAUUCUA